rnacentral:rRNA from 1 species
UACGUAGGGUCCGAGCGUUGUCCGGAAUUAUUGGGCGUAAAGGGCUCGUAGGCGGUCCGUCACGUCGGGAGUGAAAACUCAGGGCUCAACCCUGAGCGUGCUUCCGAUACGGGCGGACUAGAGGUAUGCAGGGGAGAACGGAAUUCCUGGUGUAGCGGUGGAAUGCGCAGAUAUCAGGAGGAACACCGGUGGCGAAGGCGGUUCUCUGGGCAUUACCUGACACUGAGGAGCGAAAGCAUGGGGAGCGAACAGG